CCUACGGGAGGCAGCAGUGGGGAAUAUUGCUCAAUGGAGGGAACUCUGAUCCAGCGACGUCGCGUGAGGGAAGAAGUCCCUCUUUAUUUUAAGCUGCAUCUGUAGGGGAGAAAGCUACGGUACCUGAAAAAUAAGCUCCGGCCCAAUACGUGCCAGCCGCCGCGGUAAUACGCAUGGAGCAAGCGUUAUCCGGAUUUACUGGGUGUAAAGGGAGAUUAGGUGGUAGAGCAAGUCCGAAGUGAAAACCCGAAGCUCAACUAUGGGAAAGCGUUAGAAACUGGUCAGCUAGAGUGCGGGAGAGGUAGGUGGAAUUCUUAGUGUAGCGGUGAAAUGCGUAGAUAUUAGGAAGAACACCGGUGGCGAAGGCAGCUUACUGGAGUGUAACUGACGCUGAGGCUCGAAAGCGUGGGUAGCGAACAGGAUUAGAUACCCCUGUAGUC
rnacentral:rRNA from 1 species